rnacentral:rRNA from 1 species
GACUAACGCUGGCGGCGUGCCUAACACAUGCAAGUCGAACGAGUUGUUUAAGGUAGCAAUAUUUUGAGCAGCAAGUGGCGAACGGGUGAGUAACACGUAGAUAAUCUGCCUUUCAGACGGGGAUAACUCAGGGAAACUUGUGCUAAUACCCGAUGAGACUACGAGGGGGGACCUUCGCAGCCAAAGGUGGGCGAAAGCUCACGCUGGAAGAUGAGUCUGCGUCCUAUCAGCUAGUUGGUGGGGUAAAAGCCUACCAAGGCGAAGACGGGUAGCCGGCCUGAGAGGGUGAACGGCCACACUGGGACUGAGACACGGCCCAGACUCCUACGGGAGGCAGCAGUGAGGAAUUUUCCGCAAUGGGCGCAAGCCUGACGGAGCGACGCCGCGUGAGGGAUGACGGCCUUCGGGUUGUAAACCUCUUUUAUUAAGGAAAAAGGCAAUCGUGCUAACACCACGGUUGUUUGAUGGUACUUAUUGAAUAAGCCCCGGCUAACUACGUG